rnacentral:lncRNA from 1 species
GAUUACAGGAGUGAACCACCGUGCUUGGCCUUUAUUUCCUAUUCUGGAAUUGGGCAACACUUCUUCCAUAAAAUACACUUUGCCCGAAGUUUUUACAUACAAAUUCUACUAGUCACACCUGGCCAUUCAGUGCAGUUGCUGAAUUAAUAGAUAAUGCUUAUGAUCCUGAUGUGAACGCUAAACAAAUAUGGAUUGACAAAACAGUGAUAAAUGACCAUAUAUGCUUGACAUUCACCGACAAUGGGAAUGGUAUGACUUCUGAUAAAU